CCACUGAAAUUUUAACAUUUCAGUUUCGACCCCGUUUGGUCACUGCGAACUGUCCCGAACUGUAAUCUUUAUCAGAUAGCUUUCGGAUACUAUUUCUCUCUCUACGGGUGUCAGAAAAAUCUGAAACUUCAAAUAUAGCCUCAUGAAAACAUUCCUGACAUCUCUGCCAAUUUUUAUAAUUUUCUGACACCGUGCAUUUUCUGCUAAUUUCUCAGUCCCGUUCUUUACAGAAAAUUCCAAUUCUUCUGUUUUCGCUCCGAUUUCGGCACGAGUCAUACCAGACUAACUUGGAUACUCCAUAAAUUAUCUCCAAGCCUCGCUUUAAUUCUUUAAAUCAAAGUUAGCGUCAGAAUUCCGAAAAUUCUAUUUACAUUUCGUUUCGCGCCCAAUUUGCGCCGAAACACUUAUUUAUCAUCGGAAUUCAUUCUCACGCGUCCAAAGUCACUCGGGGAUGAUGUCCAACUAGCUCA
rnacentral:lncRNA from 1 species